rfam:Pteropus alecto contig51493, whole genome shotgun sequence.
CGCUUUGGACUUUUCCUUUAGGUUCGGUGCUAACCUCUCUUGUGAGCACACUCUGCCCCUUUUCCUCCCUUUAACUCUCUGAGGUUCUCCAUUCACUUAAAAUAUUGCUUCUGGU